CAUAUAAGAACAUUAGAUGUUCUCGAAAAUACUCCAUUGCCCUUUUGCACUGUUCAUACACGUGUCAUCUUCUCCAUCAUUCUUACUCAAAUAUCCAAAAAUUCACUUUACUUUGAAUUUGAAUUUCCCUCUCUCAUUCCUUUUCCUAUCUAUCUCUCCCUCUUUCUCUCAUUUUUGUUAUUUCUUUCUCUCUCUCACGUCUCUGUUUUUUUUCUCUCUCUUUCACUUCUUCCUCAUUCACUCUCUUCUCCCUCUUUCUCUUCUUCCUCGAAACGAAAGGCUACAGUGGUGCGAACAGGGGAGAGGAUUACGAAAGGCUAAUCUGGCACGAUGUCGGAUUCGUAUUGAACAUGUGGUGGUCGUUCACUAUUUAUGCAAUUUGAGGAUAAUAUUUUAUACCUUCACUCCAAGUUGCUUCUGAUAUAUUAUGUUCUUCCUCUUCAUCCUUUUUUUCUAGAUCCAACACUUUUGUGGCUUAGGUUUUUUAGAUCCAACACUUUCAUGGCUUAGGGUUUCCAGAUCCAACACUUUCAUGAUUCAUGGUUUGCGGAUCCAACGCUUUCUGGUUCUUCUGUAUAGGAUGCAAUAAGUGGUGGUGGUGGUUGCGUGCCUUCUCAUGUCGACAUAAUUUUUUAGCCUAUUAUUGUUACAAGGUGAAAGGACAUUGUUGUUAUUUUCUUAUUCCAAUGAUUAUCGAGCAAUACAUGUGUCUCUGGUGAAGGCGCUUCUAGAAGAUUUGGCUGAGAAAUUUGCUAGGGAGAAAGUUCAAGUAAGCAUUAUUAAAAUAUGACAUGGAGAAAGUUCAGGUAACCAGUUUUGUGCUGAUUACAUGUGGUUUCAUGACUAUGCAGAAGGUUCCCCCAAUAUUGGUUUGAAAACGUUGGUAUAACAACAUUAAAUUUUGGUUUAAACUUCACCAAAAUUUUCUGAUUUUGCAGUGGCCAGUCCGAUUUAAUCAACUACAAAUUAUUCAUGGAGGCAGGUGAUAUUCGUUCGGUAUCUAAAUUUCAAGUUUGUGUUUUUUAAACCUCAAUCUGUUUUUUAAUAUAGGUUUUAAAUCUCAUGGUAGCAUUUAGAUUGGGCUGCAGCAAUUCCGUGUUCGAUAACGAGAAGUUGCAGCUACUACUGCAGUUAGGACCAACUAAUUCGGUGAUGUGUCGGGGAAAGGAGGGUUGAUCUGUUGUGCAUUGUUGACGUUGUCCCGAUUAAUUCUUGAUCAUAACACUGAUUGGCAACAUCUCAGUGUAUAAGUUAACAUUUGAUGAAAUGGAGUCCAAGUUAAAAUGUCUUCGAAGUUGAAGAAGCAAAGGACUUAGAAUAUUUCGGGAUAUUUUAAAGAUACGCUUCGACAACCACGUUGGUUGCGUUUUAGAAAUUUUCGAGCGGGAAGAUUUUGAAAUUCAAAGUAAUCCAUUUUACCUAGAGGGACGCGUGGAAGUCUUAGAGAAUCGAAGCACAUGCAGAAGGAAACAUGGCAUUUCUUUAGAGAAAGACCGUUAGGGUCGAAUUAGUAUAAAUAGGAGUCUUAAUGUUAGGAUUCAGGGUGUUCGAUUUGUACAAAAUCAUUCAAUAUACUCAAAGUACCAGCGUAGAGAAAUGAGUUUGCAGAGAAUGUACCUAUAAGAAACACCAUUAUUAUCUUUUAAAAGUUAUUUACUUAUCAA